rnacentral:rRNA from 1 species
UACGUAGGGUGCAAGCGUUAAUCGGAAUUACUGGGCGUAAAGCGUGCGCAGGCGGUUGUGCAAGACAGAUGUGAAAUCCCCGGGCUUAACCUGGGAAUUGCAUUUGUGACUGCACGGCUAGAGUGUGUCAGAGGGGGGGUAGAAUUCCACGUGUAGCAGUGAAAUGCGUAGAUAUGCGGAGGAACACCGAUGGCGAAGGCAAUCCCCUGGACCUGUACUGACGCUCAUGCACGAAAGCGUGGGGAGCAAACAGG